ensembl:misc_RNA Metazoa_SRP Metazoan signal recognition particle RNA
GCCAGGCGCGUGCCUGUAGUCCCAGCUACUCAGGGGAGCUGAGGUGGGAGUAUCUCCUGAGUCCAGGAGUUCCGGGCUGUAGUGUGCUAUGCUGAUCAGGUGUCCGUACUAAGUUUGGCAUCAAUAUGGUGACCUCCCAGGAGCUGGGGACCACCAGGUUGCCUGAGGAGGGGUGAACCAGCCCAGGUUGGAAAUGGAGCAGGUCAAAACUCCCGUGCGGAUCAGUGGUGGGAUCGCGCCUGUGAAUAACCACGCAUGCCAGCCUGAGCAACAUACCGAGACCCCAUCUCUA